rnacentral:tRNA from 1 species
GCCCGGAUGGCGAAACUGGUAGACGCAUCGGACUUAAAAUCCGCCGGGGGCAACCUCAUGCCGGUUCGAUUCCGGCUCCGGGCACCA